CCAUCUCCCCCCCCCCGGGGGCGGCCCCCCUCUUGAUCUACAGUCGUGAGGAGUCGCCCUCAGGCGAAUCACUGCCCUGUUCUGCUGUUCAGACGAAUCAUCGUUGUCAUUUAAUUUCUGCAUUCAGAUUGAGCUGUUCCUCCAAAGUCCAAAUAACAACAAACAAUGCAAUUGAAGAUCAAUUCAAUAUUCAAACCCUGUUCACCUUCUACAACACGAAACUGAACUGUAGAUCUACCUCUUUUGCCUUUGGAGAAUCAAUCAGAUGAAGCAGACUUUACUGGAGAACCAGAAAUUCCCAUUAUAUACACGCGACGACCUCCAAAUCCAGACAGGAGGUGGUGAAAUCUGAAAAGGUUCUUUGGAUGUAGCGUUUACUCAUUCAUUCAUAUGAUCUGAUAGCACUUUGGACCCACAAAAUGAAGAACUGAGAAUGGGGAAAACUUAUCUAAACAAAUGGAUUACUUUGUUGUAAUGUUCGUUGGAUGUAGCAUUUACUCAUUCAUUCUUCAUGGAUUUCGUGCGUAAGGGUUGGCGUAAUGAAAGAGUUAUUGAUAUGCACCCAUUAGAAAGGGGACAUGUUAUUUUGGUACUGAAUGGUGAUCCUCCUGCUCAUACUAACAAGGUUCAGGAGGUUAUUGGGAUGAUGGAGAUGGAACUUGGUGAUGUAUGGAUUUUCCGUGUUUUACUAUAAGAAGAUAAUGCAUGGCUUCUACGCUUAAAGAGAACACUGGGAAUCUUGAAAAUGCCAAAGAUGGCUACAACCCAAACUUUAGGUGAGCAUCUUCAAGCAUAUGCAUC